AUAGACACGGCCGACGCGGGUCGAAGUGUCGUAUCUGUUCUUAUCAGCUUAGUAUCUGAUAUGCGCUGUAUUUGGUCUCAAGAUCUUAAACUUAUUUUUGCAAGUUGGCGAAGUGCUUGAAGCCUGCUUCACCUCCGCCGCUGGUCGGCCCGGUAUUGCACUAUCUUCUGGAUAGGCCCGCGGUUU